rnacentral:pre_miRNA from 1 species
CCAUGGAACAUUCAACGCUGUCGGUGAGUUUGGGAUUUUAAAAAACCACUGACCGUUGACUGUACCUUGG